CACGAAGGUUGGCUAAUCCUGGUCGGACAUCAGGAGGUUAGUGCAAUGGCAUAAGCCAGCUUGACUGCGAGCGUGACGGCGCGAGCAGGUGCGAAAGCAGGUCAUAGUGAUCCGGUGGUUCUGAAUGGAAGGGCCAUCGCUCAACGGAUAAAAGGUACUCCGGGGAUAACAGGCUGAUACCGCCCAAGAGUUCAUAUCGACGGCGGUGUUUGGCACCUCGAUGUCGGCUCAUCACAUCCUGGGGCUGAAGUAGGUCCCAAGGGUAUGGCUGUUCGCCAUUUAAAGUGGUACGCGAGCUGGGUUUAGAACGUCGUGAGACAGUUCGGUCCCUAUCUGCCGUGGGCGCUGGAGAACUGAGGGGGGCUGCUCCUAGUACGAGAGGACCGGAGUGGACGCAUCACUGGUGUUCGGGUUGUCAUGCCAAUGGCACUGCCCGGUAGCUAAAUGCGGAAGAGAUAAGUGCUGAAAGCAUCUAAGCACGAAACUUGCCCCGAGAUGAGUUCUCCCUGACCCUUUAAGGGUCCUGAAGGAACGUUGAAGACGACGACGUUGAUAGGCCGGGUGUGUAAGCGCAGCGAUGCGUUGAGCUAACCGGUACUAAUGAACCGUGAGG
rnacentral:rRNA from 1 species